AACAGCUGGAGCGCGGCGCGCGCUGGCCGCUCUGCCGCGGGGCCGCGCCUCAGCCGCCCCCCUCCCCGCCCUCGUCCCGCCGGGCUUUAGGGGGGUGAGGGACCGCCCCGCGGCGGAGGCUGCGGCACAGAGCGGCCGUUGCGAGCUGUCGCGCCUCAGCGUGAGGAGAAGGAGGGAGGGAGCGGCGUUCAAACUCUUCUCCCCGCAGAGCCGCGGGGAAGGGGCGCUGGGGGCGGCCCCUGGCUGGGAGCCGCUCCUCAGCGGGGAGGGCCGUGCUGCAGUCCCGGCGGGACGCAGCCGCGUCACGGCAGCCCAGAUGUUCAGCGGAACAGCGCUGCCCGUCCACGUCCUUACAUCGGCACCACCGAAGUCUGCGGGUUGUUACGGCUGAGGAGCGCGCGAGCUCGUUGGCAGACUGUUGUGGCACAAAGUUCCACAGAGGUCUACAGAUUCCGCACAAGAUUCUGAAGCGGUUUUAUAAAGCACAGGCUUCCACUUGCCAACAUCCCUUCCGUAACUCCCCUCCCCCCCUCGCUGCAAUGUGCCCUCCAUUAAACUAUCCCAGUCCUACCCACCACGUACAUACAAGCCUCUUCCCCCUAACGCUUCCAGUUCACUAUGCUACCAGAGCACCUCUGCCUGCUGGCUGGACAAGAGCCAAUGCAAGACACAGCCUGAACAGAAGCUGCAAGGAUGCUGACCCAGACUGGCCAGCCUGUUUUUGCUUCUCAGAUGCUGGAUGUGUCAAACAGCGUUCGAGGAUGCACAUUGUAACAAUCUGUACAUGCUCACAGAUAAAAAGGCCCACCGAGUCACCUCACUGAAGAAGAAUGGCAAACAACUGUUGUGCACGAUGCUGUACACAGGCAGAAAUAAGGAAUUCCGGCUAUAAGCAAGUGGAUGCACUUGCUCUGUUAUCAGGAUCCCUAUAAGCUGACCCCACUCAAGCUCACAAAUUGAGCUUACAAAAUAAAUAAAAUAAAUAAAAAGGUAUCCUUGUACAUAUGGUGAUCCAGUAAGGAAAAAAAACUUCUACAUGCUGAUACUGGGAACUGAUAAAAUCUUCCCCAGCAAGACCAGGGAGAAACCUGUUUCCUUGCUGUAAAUACUACAGAUAUUUCAGAAUAUUUUACUUCUCUUUGAUUUCUGUGUUUGCCUUUGGGACAUAAAGACUUCAACUGACCUCAUUUCCCAGUCAAAGCUUUUCUCAUCUGCUGAAAGUUGACCCCAAAAUAGUCAUUAAAAAAAAAUCAAUUCUGUUCCCAGGACUGGCUGCAGUAAGAGUUACUCUCAUCAGAUACUCAGCAGACAAUCCUUCCCAAUUUGCAGCUGUGCUCUUCUCAGAUAGCCAUGGCACUCCUAUCCAUGCACCCAAAUUUUCAGUCAGAAUCUACCCCUCUCAGAAUUCUGACCCAGGAAAAAUCCACCCUGAUGCUGUGACGGUUGCCCCCCUCAUGUUCCAACCUUACGUGUUGCCUGCAACUCUCUUGAGGGUGUGUGGUGUUGGUUAAAAAAAAAAAAAAAACCUGUCAUGACUCUUAUUUGUUUAUUAUGAAAAACCAAAGGUCCUUCAGACACUACGAAGUGCUUUGCUCAUAAAUAUAACUAUAUGCAACCUGAAAAGAAAGCAUCCCACUCCAAAUGUGUGUCUGGGUCACAGUAGCAGUCUGGCAAGCUUUAGGACUGUAUGCGUACCUGAGGCUACACCUCCAAGCUCACUGUAGGGACAGCACAAAGGCUGGUUUUCAGAAUGGCCUGGCUUUGCCAUGGAAAUGUCCAGGGAGGCUGUGGCAAAACUAAAUGCAGUAAAGGCAGCCUUUUCUUUAAAACAGUACAGCACCACAAACUUCAGUGCCUCAUCAUAAAAGAAACAAUCAAGAUGCCCACGAAAUCAAUUACCAACAGUCAGACUAGAUCAACACUGGAAACAAAACACUGCUCAAAAAGUACCAAAAGUUAGAAAAAAAGGAAAAAAAAAAAAAAAACCAAAACGCUGGCAGCUUCUUACCCUCUUUACCAUGGAAUAAUCUAGCUUCCUCACAUAGGAAUCUACAAGUCGUCGUUACUUCUGGUUCUCUGUGCUGCCCAGCUACUCUUCAGGUUUCCUACCAGCCCUUUUUUUUUGCUGAAGCUCUUUAGGAGUGCUUCUGUGUAUCAGUGUGUUAGUUUAUCUUGUGUUGUCUCUAUUUUCUUGACACAAAGCUAAAAGCUCUUUGCUUCCUCAGUUAACAAACAUCUGUCUCCAAAUCUACAUGCUGUGUAGUCCAACAAUGUAAAUGAAAUCAAUGCUUCAAAACUGCAUGAAUAUGUAUUUUUAAAGAUGUUAAAUGCAUUAGAAGAAGCAGCCAAGGAAUGUGCAUUGCUUUUUCAAUAUCUCCAUUGUUGAAAUGAAACCUCAACACCACCAUAUCACAUGUAUCUGUGUGUUACAGAUAACAUGUGCGUGCAACAUGAGGUUUGCAGCUGCUGGCAUUCUGAUCAAAAAAUCCAGGCAAAGUGAAAUGUUGCUUUUUAAGACAUGAAUGAGUCUGUUAAUGACGAUAUCUCUUCCAGCUUCUGUUCAUCCAGGCCAUAUGGGUUUAUAUUAUCAGCUCUUCAGAGGAUUCCUGAGUCUAAAUUAGACUACAAAGAAGGUCAUUUUCUGUGACUCAUUUGUGCCAAGCAAGAAAAUCAUUUCCUCUCUUGAUCUCCAUGAUAGCUUUCUCUCGGGAGGAAAGAGAAUAUAAGAAGCUUUCUAAUCUCCUUUUGCAUUAUGCAAGAAACUAACAAAAUAUGAGCCCACUGUCCUCCGGGUGCCACAAAGUUGCUACCUAUAUCAUUGUGGUAUUACUGCUUCUUAACAUUUUUGUAGGUUCUUCUUAUCAUGAGCACCAGAAAGCAAAAGGCUCAUAGCAAUCUGCUUGUAAUGUGCAUGAGCAAACUUUCAUUCUAAACAAGAUGAAAUGAAAAAAAAAAAAAAAGGGAAUGGGAGCUUAAAAUAAACAAACGAGCAAACAAAACC